UACGAGUGCCCCAAGCGUUAUCCGGAAUCAUUGGGCGUAAAGGGUGCGUAGGUGGGUUGGUAAGUCAGUGGUGAAAUCUCCGAGCUUAACUUGGAAACUGCCAUUGAUACUAUCAGUCUUGAAUACCGUGGAGGUCAGCGGAAUAUGUCAUGUAGCGGUGAAAUGCUUAGAUAUGACAUAGAACACCAAUUGCGAAGGCAGCUGACUACGCGAAUAUUGACACUGAUGCACGAAAGCGUGGGGAUCAAACAGG
rnacentral:rRNA from 1 species